UGAUCUUGGUGGGUCGACUGGGCCUGAUGAGCGGGCUGAUUUUGGUGGGCUUGAGGAGCCCAUAGAGACUGCUGGGCUGGAGGGAUCACUAGGCCGAAGGCUGAAUGGGCCGAGUCCAAGUGAUGACGGGUUGGCAAGUCGGGUUGGGUCGUUAGACCGGGUUCGGGUCGGGUUUGAUUAAAAACACCCGCCCCGGCAUACACACCCUUUCCUAACCCUACUUCUUCUCUUUCUCCCCCGUUUCCUCUUGUCCUGUAAAGACCUUCUCUCCUGCUGCCCCCUUUCCUUUCUCCUCUUCCCCUUCGCCUCAC
rnacentral:lncRNA from 1 species